GUUUCUGUAGUGUAGUGGUUAUCACGUUCGCCUCACACGCGAAAGGUCCCCGGUUCGAAACCGGGCAUAAACA
rnacentral:tRNA from 1 species